rnacentral:rRNA from 1 species
GAUGAACGCUGGCGGCGUGCCUAAUACAUGCAAGUCGAGCGAACAGACGAGGAGCUUGCUCCUCUGACGUUAGCGGCGGACGGGUGAGUAACACGUGGAUAACCUACCUAUAAGACUGGGAUAACUUCGGGAAACCGGAGCUAAUACCGGAUAAUAUAUUGAACCGCAUGGUUCAAUAGUGAAAGACGGUUUUGCUGUCACUUAUAGAUGGAUCCGCGCCGCAUUAGCUAGUUGGUAAGGUAACGGCUUACCAAGGCAACGAUGCGUAGCCGACCUGAGAGGGUGAUCGGCCCCCCUGGAACUGAGACACGGUCCAACCUCCCACGGGGGGCAGCAGUAGGGAAUCUUCCGAAAGGGGCGAAAGCCUGACGGAGCCACGCCGCGUGGGGGAUGAAGGUUUUCGGAUCGUAAAACUCUGUUAUUAGGGAAAAAAAAAUGUGUAAGUAACUAUGCCCGUCUUGGCGGUACCUAAUCAAAAAGCCCCGGCUAACUACGU